GCCGCCGCCGCCGGGUCCUAGGCGGAGCGGAGAGCAGGAGGACGCGGAGCCGGGCCGCUGGAAGCCGGGGAGCCUCGGCGUCGCCGCCGGCCUGUGCAAACAGACAGACGACGGUGACAGCGCGCAGCCGGCGGGGGAAGGGUGGGAGGGGCCCCCGGGUGCCGGGGGGAAUCCCAACGGCCCCAUCUCCCCCCGGUGCAGCUCUGCUGCCCGCGGACCCUUGGACUCAGGAGGCGGCUGGGUGACCCUCUUUCAAAGGCAGGGCAGCCCAGAGGAUUCCUGCCGUCGCCCCUAGGCACCCUGCGACCGUGGGAUUCUUGGAGAGUGUCACCUCUGCUAGAUUUCACUGGGACCCGCCACUGUCUGAUGAGAACAUCUGCCCAGGAUUGUAGAGGUUAUAGAGAAUGGAAAUGUUUAUAGCCCGAAAGGAAGAAAUAAGAAACCGUGUGUCCUAUCAGAGAAUGAAGUAAGCAUGGAAUGGGUCUCUGGAUAAAUCAAACACACCGAGUUUGGAUUGAACUGGGAAAGGUGAAGUGAGAAGGGUCAUCAGAGACCCGGAGGGCAUCCCGAGGGCCAGGGGAGGGCUGAUCAGGUGGGCUUAGUACCUCCCUGGCACCCUGCCCCCCGUUAUUUUACUUGUUUACUUUCUGAAAAUGGCUUUAUUUAAACAGGAUCCUGGGCUACAAACAAAAGCCUGAAAACACUGACAGAUGAAGCCCAGAACAUUUGGCUGAUUGUUGUAUAUUUGAUGAAGAUUUUGUGUCCUUAGUCUGAAAGACAUUCUAAAAUAUUAUAGAUUUAGUUUCUGCCGAUUCAGUUUCUUCCAAGUAAUCCGCUUAAUUUCACAGGUGUGGAGGUGGUUAGAAGUCCUCAUACUGAGUGGUAAAUAAAAUGAUUUCUUCUGUUACAUUUACUGAGGAGACUUGAUGCCUUCUUCUGAAGAAAUAAAAGGCUCAUUCAAUUUUGAGAUAAACUUUUAUUGUUGGGAACUCAAAAGUUCCUUUCACAGGAAAAAUAACAAUGCUAUUUUCAGUUGGGGGGAAAAGCGUUUUAAAUUCUAAAAUCCUAUUAUGUGCUUAUUACAUACUAAUGUGAGUUCAUCUUUUUGGUAAAAUGAACACCCAAGCAUGUUUGUAUGCAGUUUAUGCCCGUUCCAAGACUCUAAAAAGCUGGCACAGAUUCGGGCAAGAAAAAUGUGUCUAUUUCCUCUCAAUAUGUCUACUGUUUGAAUUAAAUAUACUGGAGACUGGUGUAA